AUCUUAUCACACACAAACACAGAGACACACACACCACGUCCCUCAAACCACGAAACACACUUAUAGACACAAACAGCUCCCACGCCUACAGGAAUGGCCGAGGCGCUACCGGAGGAGGCGUGGGCGGAGGAGAGGUGUGUGGGCGUGGGUGACAGGCAUGGGCAGGAGGAGGAGCCCUUGGAAGCUGCAGUAAUCUGUCCAAUUUGUCUGAAGGAAUAUGAUGCAGAGUUUAGAAGGCCUCUAUUACUCUCCUCCUGCGGUCACACCUUCUGCAGAAGCUGUGUUAAGAACCUGGUGUGCGACAAGGCUACUAUUGUGUGCCCCUGCUGCAGACAUGAAUACAAAGACGCCGAGGUUGACAACUUUCCAGUCAACUUCAGUAUCCAGAUUUUGGCUUCCAGCACCAAGAAUCAACAGAAAAUGAAGCUACCGUCAGCCCACGAGUGCCAGGACCAUGGGGUACGUGUGGCCUUCUGGUGCCGCUCCUGCGAGGUGCCAGCCUGCGGGGAGUGCCUCUUUGAUGGCCACCCGCGCCCCACUCACGCCAUCUGCAAAAUUAAUGAUGUUAUAAAGGAGGUAAAAACACGCGCUGAGGAACUAGUGAAGGAAAGCAGGGAGGAGACAGCAGGCCUUCUUGGGGACCUCCUGUCUCGUGUAGUGCGUGGGAUAUCUGACCUACAGGAGGCUGGGCACAUCCUACAGGAGUCUGGGCGGCUGCGAAGGAUUGCGCAGGAUAGCAAGACCCUCUCCUCCAUAACAAGAGCUUUUGAGAGUGCAAAGAGCGUGAAGCAGCGUGUUCAAGCUUUGAGGAACUGUGAGGAAGCCGAUACACGACUGGAGGAAAGGCCGGUGGUCGUCGCCUUAAGUGAAACAGGAGGGCUCUCGAAAGUGAAGGUCGAGGAAAAGGGCAUUCAUAUAUACAGCCUGCGACCUUCCUCUACUGCUUACACUGUCGCUAUUAAGAUGUCGGUCCUCCUCGAGUGUGUGAGUAAGGACCACCCCGAAGUCUUCCUGGAUCUGAGGGCCGGGGAAAGACCACUAGGAAGGGUGUACAUCACGCUAUGGGGACACAUGAGGCGCGCGCAACAGUUCAUGGCCCUCUGUUUGGGAACUUACGGCCGUCCUAUAGGAAUACAAUAUGGGCGAAGAAAAUGGAAGCAGGGCAAGUGUGUGGAGUGGGAGGCGACGAUGAGAGGAAAUUCGGGGCUUUGUUUGCAAUUUGCCUGCGUGAAAACCCUGACAGUUUCUUCAGAGCCCCGUUUGGAAUGGUGACAAGUGGCCUGGAAGUGUUAGAAGUGGCGUGCAGACAUCAGCCCUUUAAUCUAGUGAGGGUGUCUGAUUGUGGCGUGUGUGUGUGAGAAUGUGUGUGUGUGUGUGUGUGUGUGUGUGUGUUUUGGG
rnacentral:misc_RNA from 1 species